GACAGUGACGUCACUGAGUCACAAAAACCCCAAGUUCUACUUCCCCUAGCCAGGACUGGAAGUUACAAAAUCACUGCCCUCACUGAGAAAUGGGCACCAAGCUCUUCUCCUGGGUGAUCUUCAAUCUCUUGUGGGCAGGGUAUAUAGAGGCUGUAGUCAUCCAGACCCCAAGAUACAAGAUCACAAAGACAAAAGAAAAGGUGACUUUGAAAUGCCACCAGACCAACAACCAUGACAACAUGUUUUGGUAUCGACAAGAUCCAGGGCAUGGACUGAAGCUGAUCCAUUACUCAUAUGGUGUUGACGACAAGAACAAAGGAGAAGUCGAAGGAUACAGUGUCUCCAGAGAAAACACAGAGGACUUUCCCCUCACUCUGGACUCAACCAACCUGGCCCAGUCAUCUGUGUACUUUUGUGCCACCAGUUAUCCCACAGCGCUGCAUAGCCAACUCCUCUCUGCCUAA